UAGGGAAUCUUCGGCAAUGGGGGGAACCCUGACCGAGCAACGCCGCGUGAGUGAAGAAGGUUUUCGGAUCGUAAAGCUCUGUUGUUAAGGAAGAACGAGUGUGAGAAUGGAAAGUUCAUGCUGUGACGGUACUUAACCAGAAAGGGACGGCUAACUACGUGCCAGCAGCCGCGGUAAUACGUAGGUCCCGAGCGUUGUCCGGAUUUAUUGGGCGUAAAGCGAGCGCAGGCGGUUAGAAAAGUCUGAAGUGAAAGGCAGUGGCUCAACCAUUGUAGGCUUUGGAAACUGUUUAACUUGAGUGCAGAAGGGGAGAGUGGAAUUCCAUGUGUAGCGGUGAAAUGCGUAGAUAUAUGGAGGAACACCGGUGGCGAAAGCGGCUCUCUGGUCUGUAACUGACGAGGAGGCUCGAAAGCGUGGGGAGCGAACAGG
rnacentral:rRNA from 1 species